rnacentral:misc_RNA from 1 species
UCCAACAUCAAGCCUGGCUUGUCAUUGGGCCCUCUGUCGUGUGAACGACAGGCCUCAAAGGAAGUGACGGCGUCCGGUCGACCCCAGGUACACGGAGCUUUUAUUAGCACGUACCGUGGUGGACGGCCGGGCCUGGUCUUAACCAUUUAUCUCUCA